rnacentral:misc_RNA from 1 species
AGGGUCAUGUUAAAAGAAUAUUACAAUGUCAAUUUCAUCCAUCCUUUAUUUUGAAUUUGAGUAAGGUUACUUAAUGUUACUGUGAUAUAUAUGUAUAACUUAAACCUAUAAAGGCUACUAUCAGCUAUUUGUUUUGGGGGCACACGUCGUUUACAUAGCCCCUUCGACAAAUUUAGUUGAAUGACAAUGGUGUUAUUCGACAAUACAACUAUAAAAAAA